rnacentral:rRNA from 1 species
UGNCCUCGCCUGUUWGCCAAAACAUCGCNUCGNRAAUUUUUAUAAGAGGUGCAGCCUUGCCCRGUGACCNUGAUCAACGGCCGCGGUAUCCWAACNGURCGAAGGARGCGUAAUNACWUGUUCUNUAAAUCAGGANUAGUAUGAAUGGCACCACGAAGRUCAUACUGUCUCCUUUUUCUAUUCAGUGAAACUAAUCUCCCCGUGAAGAAGCGGGGAUAAAAAUAUAAGACGAGAAGACCCUAUGGAGCUUCAAACAACAUAGCAUAAAAAUUUUCAACUCCAGAGAGAUAUUAUGACUAUAAGUUUUUGGUUGGGGUGACCACGGAGCAUAACAUAACCUCCUUGUUGAAAGAAUCUKAACUKCCGAACUACACUUCUAAGGAUUAAUACCCCAACAYCAAUUGACCCAAUAUAUUUGAUCAACGAACCAAGUUACCCUAGGGAUAACAGCGCAAUCCACUUCAAGAGCUCCUAUCGACAAGUGGGUUUACGACCUCGAUGUUGGAUCAGUUUAUCCURGUGUGMGGGCCUWAAAGCAUUNAYGUGAUMMGCGGCGKCAGACAR